rnacentral:rRNA from 1 species
GAUGAACGCUGACAGAAUGCUUAACACAUGCAAGUCUACUUGAAUUUGGGUUUUUUAACUUAGAUUUGGGUGGCGGACGGGUGAGUAACGCGUAAAGAACUUGCCUCACAGUUAGGGACAACAUUUGGAAACGAAUGCUAGUACCUGAUAUUAUGAAUAUAUGGCAUCAUAUAAUUAUGAAAGCUAUAAGCGCUGUGAGAGAGCUUUGCGUCCCAUUAGCUAGUUGGAGAGGUAACGGCUCACCAAGGCGAUGAUGGGUAGCCGGCCUGAGAGGGUGAACGGCCACAAGGGGACUGAGACACGGCCCUUACUCCUACGGGAGGCAGCAGUGGGGAAUAUUGGACAAUGGACCAAGAGUCUGAUCCAGCAAUUCUGUGUGCACGAUGACGUUUUUCGGAAUGUAAAGUGCUUUCAGUUGGGAAGAAAAAAAUGACGGUACCAACAGAAGAAGUGACGGCUAAAUACGUG